UAUGUGUUUUCUUUUCUGUUUGUUUCUGAUUUUCUCUUGAUGUAAAAGUCUAGUGAAAGGAAGGAAGGAAUAAAUAGGGAGAGAACAAGUUUCAAUCUAGUUUUUGUCUUUCGAUAAGAGAGUACGAAAGCGACUGUGCGAAUGAUAGCCAAAGCGUGCUGUAUGUGUGUGUGUGUGUGGUUGUUCUGAGUUUUUCAGUUCUGACUGUAUGCAUGCAUUUGGCAUGCGGGUGUUUGAAUUUGUUGGGUCGUUUUUUGUGUAUUUUUUGUAUUGAAGAUAUUAACCUGGUUGAUCCUGCCAGUAGUCAUACGCUUGUCUCAAAGAUUAAGCCAUGCAUGUCUAAGUAUAAACAAUUUUGUACUGUGAAACUGCGAAUGGCUCAUUAUAUCAGUUAUAGUCUACUCGAUAGUACCUUACUACUUGGAUAACCGUAGUAAUUCUAGAGCUAAUACAUGCACAAAUACCCAACUGCUUGUCGGACGGGUGGCAUUUAUUAGAUUGAAACCAAUGCAGUCUUCGGGCUGGUAUUGUGUUGAGUCAUAAUAACUGUGCGGAUCGCACUCAGUGCGAUAAAUCGAUUGAGUUUCUGCCCUAUCAGCUUUGGAUGGUAGGAUAUGGGCCUACCAUGGCAUUAACGGGUAACGGGGAAUUAGGGUUU
rnacentral:rRNA from 1 species